UGCUAAUACACUGUUGCUGUAUGAGAUUU
rnacentral:piRNA from 1 species